rnacentral:rRNA from 1 species
UUCUUCGGAUGAUUGAUCGGUGACUGAGUGGCGGACGGGUGAGUAACGCGUGGGUAACCUGCCCUGUACAGGGGGAUAACAGCUGGAAACGGCUGCUAAUACCGCAUAAGCGCACGAGGAGACAUCUCCUAGUGUGAAAAACUCCGGUGGUACAGGAUGGACCCGCGUCUGAUUAGCUGGUUGGUGAGGUAACGGCUCACCAAGGCGACGAUCAGUAGCCGGUCUGAGAGGAUGAACGGCCACAUUGGAACUGAGACACGGUCCAAACUCC